CAUUCCCUGCCUGCCUGCCCCCAGCCAGUUCCCUGCCCUGGGGCCGAUCAGACCAGCACCCCCCAGAGGGGACAGGCUGUAUACGUCAGUUCUCUUUCCCAGGAGCCAUCUGGUCCCCCUAGACUGGCCAGCAGCAGGGGGAUGUGGCUGCAGACUCUAGCGAGCGGGGUGGGAGCUGUGGAGGGGGGUCUGCAUUAGCACAGGGCUAGGACCCAAGCCCCCCUCACCAAGGGAUCAGUCCCCCUGCCCCCCCCCCGACUUUUCAGCAGCAAUUUCCCCUUGCCAUGCAGGAAAAAGAAAACCAGAGAUUGGCUGAGACCAUUCAGGAGCUGGAGGGAAAGAUCUCCAAGCAGAGAGCGUGGGAGAAGACCCACAAGCAGGCUCUGCAGCAGCUGCGGGUGCAGG
rnacentral:lncRNA from 1 species